rnacentral:lncRNA from 1 species
AAUUCUAUUAUUUAGAGGAAUGGUGGUGAAGUGAGGUUUGCAUUAGAUUUUGAGAUUUGAGUUUAUAGUUUAGGGUUUUGGGUUUAUAUUUGGAUUUAGGUUUUUAAUAAAUUUCGUUCUCAAACUUUGUCAUUUGGCAAAUGUAAAUGGAGUGGACCAGUACUUCUAUACUAUUUAUAGAGGUUUCAUAUUAUGUCGUGUACAUUGACAAAAUUGACAACAUAUUAUAUAGAUUAUGUUUAGGUUUAUACUUUAGUUAUUUGGGUUUAGAUUUUGUAACUAGGGGUUUGUCUAGGGUUUUAGUAUUUAAGUGGGUGAGUAGAGUUUAGUGUUUAGGGUUUAUAUUUGGAUUUAGGGUUUAGUGAUUAGGAUUUAGGGUUUAGUAAUUUCUUUCUCAAACUAGAGUUUAGGGUUUAUAUGUCAUGUCUUCAAAUUUGAUAUUUCUCUUCUAUGCUCUUUUAUAUGAUUGUUCGUAAUAUAAAAUUGGUUUCAUUCAAAUAUUUGACAAUGUUAGGGUCAUGUCUAGUUUAAGAACGUCUUUUUCAUCAACGGGUACUUUUAUUUCUUCUCGUACUAUUUUACAUAUGAUACUCAACUAAUAUAAAUAGAAUAAACAUUUGUAUACUAUUUUAUACAAUGUUCAUACUAUAUAUGUAUAGUACUUGAAAAUAUUAUAAAAAUUAUAUAUUUCAGAUUUUGAUUUUCUUUUAAAUAUAUAUUAUAGCUUAUAUAUGAGUUUAAGAUUUAAUGGCUAUGGUUUAGAGUUUAGUAGGGGUUGAGUUUAGAGUUUAGUAUGAUAUUUUCCAUCUUUAUAUAGUAUAGUUUAAUAUCACAAAAUAUUAUAUAUAUUUUUCAGAUUUUAAUUUUAUUUUAAAAUUAUAAAUAUAUAAUAUAGUUUACAUUUGAGUUUGGGUUUAAUGAUAACCAUUUAGGGUUUAGUAUUUAAAAGUUAGAGUUGAAUUUAGGUUUAUAUUUGAGUUUAUGGUUUACAUUUAGAUUUAGGGUUUAGUGAUUAUGGUUGAAGGUUUAGUAUUUAGAGAUUAGUUUCAGAUUGAGAUAAGUUUUAGUAUCUAAAUUUAAGGGUUGAUGUAUAAUUAAUAUUCUAUAUUAUUUUGGUGAUAUGAAGUAGAAUUAAUGAAAUGUUUGUGGUUAUUAUGUAUGUGAUGUGGUUGUAUUAUCUUCCUGUAACAGUUUGCAUUAAUUAUUGGCAACACUUGGAUUUUGUUAAUGUCAUCUCUACAGCUUUAAGCCACCGGCAACUUGUAUGAAUCAAGGGUAAAACCGGUGAAAAUAAAGCACAAUUGUUAAAUAAUACAUUAUGUCAAAUCAGUGUUAUGCACUUAAUUUAUUUCUCAAACUUGGUCAUUUCACGAAUUCACACUAAAAAAACCCUAAAAAUGAUUUCAGUUUCGAUUAUUGAAUAUAUAGCUACCUUUAAUAGUUUCACUAUUCCGAAACUGCAACGGUUUCAUGUUUCAUACUCUCGUAAGAACCGAACCACUUUCAAAAUGAUUAAAAUCUGCCUCGUUAUUAUUUUUUAGAA